UGCAAAAAUCAUUCUGAAACUGAAUAUAUUAGUUUUCAAUUUAUGUUGGUCCGAUUCAGUGGCUCACGCUACCAUAUUAACCGGGGUUUUGUUUUUUGAAAUGAUUUCCCAGGCGACUCCAACCGUGGUUUUGGUUCGGUUCAGAGUUAUGUGUAAAUGUAUACAUGUCCAGUUCCCUACACAAACUGCUUGACAAAUUUUGUUAAAUUAGUAUCUGAGGCUUUUUCGACACAAAUUCCUAAUUUUUGGGCGUAUCUUGUUAAACCGAACCAUUUUUAUACCCUCCACCACUUGUGUAAAUGUAUACAUGUCCAGUUCCCUACACAAACUGCUUGACAAAUUUUGUUAAAUUAGUCUCUGAGGCUUUUUCGACACAAAUUCCUAAUUUUUGGGCAUAUCUUGUUAAACCGAACCAUUUUUUAUGCCCUCCACCACAUAAUGGAGGGUAUAUUAACCUUGUCAUUCCGUUUGUAACUCCUCGAAAUACUCAUGAAAGUAUAUAAAUUCUUGUUCGGCGUAAAAUUCUAAAACGAUUUAGCGAUGUCCGUCUGUCCGUUCUAAUCAGGCUAUCUUUUGAACAUAUUGAGAUAGAAGCUAAAAUUUUGGAGACAUAUAGAUGUUGUCAGUAGCCCCAUGUAAAGGUACUUCUCAAUAUUCAUAAUUUUAUGGGUUUAGCGACAUUAUAGAUCGUAUUGGAAUAUAUUAAUGGGUACUACAACUUAUGACAAAGUACGUAUGCAGGUCCACGUCUUCGUAUACCCCACAUAUAACGGUAUUUUGAUUAUAUAAGUGACGUUAUUCAACGGAAUCCUUUCCAAUUUGGUACUUGAAUGUCCUGGAGGGUACUACAGCCUAUGACAAAAAUUCCUUCCAAAUGGUCGCGGGUAUUAAAAGUUCGGCCCGGUCGAACUUAUGUGCUUUUUUACUUGUUACGAUUAAUGUCAAUAUUCUCUUCAAUUUUUGUGUUUUCUAAAUUCAUAGACGCGGCAAAAGAGAGUGAAUUGAGAAAAAUUAUUGGUUGCUGUGUUACAGAUAAUUCAUGGACUUGCCUGUGAAAAAUUCAGAAGAUGUGUUAGAUGGUAUCACUUCUGUAAACCAUUUCAAAGGAAGUGCACAUUUCCGCAGAAUUAGAUUGUAAUGUAAUGAAGAAUUAAAGGUGUCUGGUUACCCUAAAGUUGCUACAAAGUAACGCAAAAUUACUAAAAAAGAGACAUUCUUCAAAAAGAUUUCUACCAUAGACAAAUGAAGAUAUAGACAACGAAAUGCUAUCACCGUUUAUCUUCGAAAAAAUCGGAUCAGCAGAUGUCGUAUAUAGCGUUUCAGGGGUUUGAAUGGGAAUAUUGAAGUCACUCAAUUCUUAAAUGUUAAAAAUAAAAAAAAACUUUAGGAUAUUUGUCAGUUGAAAAUUGUUCCAUAAUAAAACAAAUGUGAAAAGUACGUGAACACAUCGAAAUUUGAACGCGUAAAUCUGCAUGUUGACUAUGCAAAAACCUAAUGAGAGCCACCUGGAUAAAAAGACAAAACUCACUUUUCAUUGUCUAUAUGUUCAUUUGUCUAUGUUUCUACUUGCGAAGAUUUGCAACUCUUUUUCUUGCGGCGAAGUGUUUUGCGCAAACAGUUUUAAAACUUUUUUUAUUUUAAAAAUGCAAGAAUAAUUGUUUAGUUUUUAGCUGAUGUUUAAUUUUUGAGUGCUGUUCAUAAUAUUGCUAUUAAUUUGCCCAACACUGUUGGUUGGGCAUUUACCGGCGGCCGCAUAAAUGGCAUCAUAACAAAAUGAUGUAAAUAAUGUAAAUACAUACACAUACACACAUACAUUUAUGCAGCCACCGGUAAAUUCCAAUGCUGAAUUCUAAUAACUAAGCAUCGUCAACAGCCAAAACAGGUUUGAUGUGACGAUGCAAAUUGGACAAUAGUUAGUUCUCAUGUAAUUACCGUCGCGAAGACAAGUUCCCCCCGUGUGACAAGUGUUAGUGCGCAAAACAAAACCUACUAAUCUUGUAAUUUUACAAAAAAAAAACAGUGAACAUUUAAUCAUCAACACUACAAAAAAAACCAAGAACAUUGUUAAUAUUAAAAAGUGAACAAAUAAAUUGUGAAACUAUAUAACUUAUAUGCUAAAACUUACAAACUAAUGAAUUAAAACUAUUUAAUUUAAACUUAAAAUCUAUUAAAAUAAAACUUACAAAUUAGUGAAUUAAAACCCAAAUAUAAAUUAUACAAAAUAAUAUUACUUAAACUAAAUUGCACUACCCCAAAAAAUCUAAAUAAAAGACUGAACUAAAACUGAAACAAAAAAUAUAUCUUAUAAUUUAAACAGGCAAAAAGGUAAGCCUAAAAACAUUUGGUCCUCCAGAGCCGGAUCAAAAAGUGAAAGUUUUUUAAAUUAUUAAAAACAAAAAAGAACAGUGAGAAAAAAGAACAGUGAAAAAUACAGUGCGGUGCAAAAAUAAGUGCAAAGAAAAAAGGUUUUGAAAAAAAAAUAAAUAAAUAAAAAAAUAAACUUUAAAAAUAAUUACAAAAAACAAAAUAGACAGUACACAGUGCAACAAAAAGUGAAGUUACACAGUGCUACAAAAAAAUAAAAUUUUUUAAAAUUUUAGAAAAAUUAAAUUUUUUCUUUAAUUUUAAAAAAUAUAAAAUCUAAAAAAUUAAUAAGAAGUUAAAGAAGUUUUAAAAGCAAAAGAAAAGAGUGACAAUCAACAAGAGUGGCAUAAAAAUUUAAUUUACAAAAAGACAACACACGUUGCUACAAAAGAGACAAUACACAGUGAGACAACUUACAGUGACACAAAGAACAACCACAACACGGAGAAUUUUGGAGCCAGCAGUAGGACGGACACACGCAGCACAACAACAACAAACAAGGUACAACAUCGAGACCCGGAAAAAAACCCAAAGUGAGUACUCGUGAAAUUUUCUUUUUUGACACAAAAGGGCAUUUCGGGAGCAGGCAAAUCUUCAAUAUUUGCAUUGACCCGCAUAUUCCCAUAUUUGGCAAGAUAAUUUUGACACAUAUUCAAAGCUGCUAGUUGCCCACUCUGACACAGUGAACGAAAUUUUCCAUUUGGAGCCAUUUUUGUGGACAGACAUUUGGCUAUUGACCCGGAAAAAAGGAAAAAAGCAGAAAGACACAUAUUUUUUUCAAAAAUAGCGGGAAUUUUCAGCCAUAUACAAAUAUAUAUAUAUAAAAAUUUUGGAAUUUUCUGAACGUGGAGUUCAGGUGAAUACAUAAGCGCCAUAUUGACACAAAUACAUAAGCUUUUAAUUUUGGAAAGUUGGCGUCACUUAACUUGGCAAACAUAUAAACGCCAUAUUGCAAAAACUAUAUACAAUUUUUUGGAAAAAAAGCGUCACUUGCAAUAUAUAGUCGCCAUAUUUUUUGGAAAAAUUUGGCGUCACCCGAAUACAUAAACGAGUAAAUAAAACCCGUUUAAAAAAUAGCAUCUGGUGGACAGACAUACAUUUGAAAAUUAAACUACAAAUUUUUUGAAAUUUUUGGAGAAAAAAAUUGGCAAACAAGCAAGCGUCUGGUGGACAGACAUACAUUUGAAACUUAAACUACAAAUUUUUUUGAAAUUUUGGAGAACAAAUUUUAUAUCGGAGUCUGGUGGACAGACAUAAAAUCGAUCCCAUAUAUUUACAAUUUUUAUUUUUAUUCUAAUUUUAACCUUUUUUCCCAUUUAGCACAAUAUCUAUUGCUCUAAGGAGCUUAAAAAUUUUUCUGUGACCCAAAAUUAAUUUCUUGCAUUUUUCGCAGAAAUAUUUUGCUGGUAUAAUUUUUUUUGAUUUUGUGACACAUAACACGACAACUUUUUGGAAAAAAAAAAUCUCUUCAUUGACAUUUUUUACACUUUCUUGAAUUCUUUGCUGAAAAUAUUUGGAUUUUGACCCAAAUUAUUUUCUUUUGUAAUAUUUUUCUGGGACAUAAACUUUUCCGCUGAAAUAUUUGGACCUUGACCCAAAUCAAAUUUUUUGGAAAUUUUUGCUCAAAUUUUUGGAUUUUUGACCCAAAUUAUUUGUUUGAAAUAUUUCUGCUGAAAUAUUUGGAUUUAUACAUACAUAAUUUCCUCUAAUUCUCGUUGCGAAUUUUAUCAAAAAAAUUUGGCGAAUUUAGAAAAUUUGUUGAAUCAGACAAAUUUUCACAAGCAAUAAUCAAAGUUAUUGGCUUUUUAAAAAUAAAAUCCUCCUGUCAUAGGAUAUUAAGUGAUUUUAACAAAAAAUUUAAAUUUUUUUUUGACAACCCAACACACAUUUUUACUUCGUUGAAAUUUUUUUUGGACUCUCUGAAAUUUUUUGGAAUUUUCAACUUCUCGUGGACAAUCAAAUUAGACUCUCGUUUUUUUUGAAGAAAUUGUUUACUGCGCAAAACAUCUCUGGUAAUUUCUGCUUUGCAAUUCUCGUUUAAACACUUUUGUUUUAAAAACUUUUGAUUAUUUGUCGAAUUGCAAAAAUAAAAUCCUCCUGUAAGUGGACUUUAAGAGAUUUUAUUUUCCUUUUUGCUCAUUUUGGCGAAAUUCUGACCCUUCUGGCAACCCAGCAAACAUUUUUAAUCAAAUCAGUCCGGCGUCUAAUACAAAGGAAAUUUUUUGAAAAUUUUCAAAAAUUUUGAAAUUUUUGAAGGAAACGAAAUAUAAUUUGACUCAAACCAAUAAGAUAAGAUCGUUUUCGUCGACAAAAAUUGGAGAAAGAAACUUAUCCUCAUUUUAGAAAUAAAAAUUUGGAUAAAAGUUUAAAUUCUAAACCAAGUUAGUCCUUUUCGUUGGGCAACUUUUCUUUUUUGUAAACCAACAAAAUUUCGUAAAGGUUAACGCUCAGUUUUCAAAAUGGAUAAAACGUUAAGCGAUAAAUUCACAAAUUGCGUCAACGAUCUUCUGGAUUAUAUUUCAAUUUUUUCAAUAACCAAACCUGAUGACACGGUACAUACUUUGGAAACAACACGAAUGGAGUUGGACUCUGCAUGGGACCAGGUCAAGAGAGCCUACAUAGACUGUCGGGAUUAUGUUCCAGAAGAGGAAGGAAAGCCGAUCGAUAAAAAUAAACUGAGAAAGCACUAUAUGGAUACCAUGGGAUCGUACAAAAAAGCGCUGAGUUCAAUAAAUGGACAAAUUCAAAAUAUUUUGGAUGAAAAGACACAGGAAAAAAUGAAAAGAGAGUCAGAGAUGUCACAACAAGGAAGGGAAGUGGAUUUCACAAACGUAUCGCGGCUACCUCCAUGCGAUACAGACACAUUUAAAGGUGGUUACAGAGAAUGGCCGACUUUCAGAGAUCUAUUACUCAAAAUUAAGCAAUGUCGAAAAAUUAUUCCAUUUAACGCAGAAGACAGCAGGAGAAGCUAGAGAAAUUAUUUCACAUGUCCCACUAACUAAUGAUGGAUUUACAUUAGCAUGGAAAAAUCUCACAGAUCGUUACGAGAAUAAAAGAAUGCAAAUUAAUGAAGAAAUCAAGACACUUUUUAAUCUACCUGGAGUUUCUGCUGAAUCAAGUCACUCUAUUCAAAAACUACAACGCACGGUAAAUAGCAGCAUUCAGACACUGGGGAUACUUGAUGUCGACGUUAAAUGAUGGGAUCCGAUUUAAAUAUACAUUUGUUCAACAAAAUUACCUAGAGGCUUUUUAGAAGAAUUCGAGAACUCAUUAAGCGAUUGUAAACAAAUUCCAAAAUGGGAACAGUUUGACGCUUUCUUAACAAACAAAUUCAAAACUUUGGAAUCAGUUGGUAACAUAAAGCCCUCUACAUCGAAAUUUGCUCAACAAAAACCAACUAACAAUCACACGCCUAGAUUUUUGAAAACAUUUCAGACAAAUGUCUCAAAAAAUACAAACAACUUUGGAGGAAGACCUACUAAUGUAAUAUUACCUCAACAAAAUAAACAGAAAAAUACUCAAACUUGUCAAGUCUGCAAAUCAAAUCAUUUCAUAAGAGAUUGCAGCGAAUUUUUGAAAAAGAGUGUGAAUGACAGAAUUCACAUCGUGAAAACAUCACACUUAUGCUACAAUUGCUUGUCAUCAAAUCACGGAGUAAAGGAUUGCAAAAGUCGCUUUGGCUGCCGUAUUUGUACUAUGAAACACAACACUUUGUUACACAAGGGAACGGAAACCCAAACAACUAACUCAUACCUAGCUCGAGUGGAAGCACGACCUAGUACUAGUGCUGCCGCUCUUACAAAUCAAAUACAGUCCACUACAAACCUAGAACCAACUACUAUUACUACUUUGACCCUCCAAGAUAAGCAAAUUUGUGAGCGACAAUCUGGAGGAACACUACUCUUCACAGCAAUAGUACAAAUUGAAACCAAAGGACAACUUUACGAUGCCCGAGCUCUAAUAGACUCAGGAUCACAAUCCACCUUUAUUUCGGAAAAGAUGAAAAACUUUUUGAAGUUGCCUACACGGAAUAACUUAGUUCAUGUCACUGGCUUAAGUCAAUUUGUUUCUGAGACUUCAACAAAAUCUUGCUUGUUUACUAUGAGAUCCAAAUACGACCCUAGCUUUAAACUGGAAGUCUGGGCUCCAGUUUUAAAGAACUUACCUUCAAAUCUACCACCACAAAACUUAGAUGAAUCACAACUUCGAGAUGUAACAGCAUUAGAACUGGCUGACCCGAAAUUUUACGUUAGUCAACCAAUCGAUUUACUUAUUGGAAUGGACAUAGGACCAUUAAUAUUCACAAUUGGAACUCCAAUGAAAACAUUUGUAUCAAUUUUAACACAAAAAACCAAAUUUGGAUGGAUAGUUGCAGGACCCAUACCAGGAAGCAUCCUUCAACGAAAACAAAUAUCACUUCUAAAUACAACUUCAAUAGAGAAAGUACUUACACGUUUUUGGGAGGUGGAAGAGACCCCUAAAAAAGUUUUACGGUCAGAAGAUCGAAUCACGACAAAGUUAAGAGUCGUCUUCAAUGCUUCUUGCCCAUCAUCAAACAAAACAAGUAUCAAUGACAUAUUGUUUCCGGGACCCAUUUUACAACAAGAUUUGGUACUACAAAUUCUAAAAUGGAGAUUUUUUAAAUAUGCCUUCAAUGCAGAUAUAACAAAGAUGUAUCGCCAAAUACUUUUGGAUUCAAAGCAAACGAAAUAUCAAAGAAUUCUCUUUAGAAAGUCUCCGGAAAACCCAGUAGAAGAUUAUGAGCUGCUAACAGUUACAUUUGGAGUUAACUGCGCACCAUAUUUAGCAUUGAGAACUCUUCUUAAACUAGCAGAAGAUGUAAAAGAAUCAUACCCUAGAGCCGCAAAUAUAAUUUUGAAUAAUUUGUAUGUUGAUGAUGUAUUAGCUGGCGGUCACACUGAAGAUGAAUCAAUAAAAGCUCGAAAAGAAUUAACUGCUGCUUUAGACUCUGCCGGUUUUACACUAAUGAAAUGGGCAUCAAAUGAUCGCAAAAUAAUACAAGAUAUUCCACAUGAACAUUUGCUACCACUCAAUUGGCUAGACAUUUCCGAAGAUGCUUCAACUAAGACCCUUGGAAUUCGAUGGAAUAUCUCAGGCGAUUAUUUUUCGUUUACACCACCCUCAAUGGAAAAUAAAAAUGUAUCUUCAAAACGAGAAGUUUUAUCAACGAUAGCCAAAUUGUUUGACCCAUGUGGAUGGCUGGCACCGGUAGUUGUCGUAGCUAAGUUAAUAAUGCAACAAAUCUGGCUAGACAAAAUUGACUGGGAUGAUCAAUUAAAGCCAAUAACACAAAUGAACUGGAACAAUUUUGUCAAAAAUAGCAAAGAUAUUGAAUAUCUCAGAGUUCCUCGAUGGAUUCAAUACACGCUAGAUGGUUCUGUAGAGAUUUGGAAGCCAAAAUGGCAAAAGUUAUGACUCUUUUCGCUGAUGGAGAUGACCCUUUAAAAAAUUUCUCCUCUUUAUCUAAAGUUUAUCGAUCAUACGCAUAUGCUCUAAGACUCUGGAAAAAUACUGGAGCAAAUAGGCAACACCUUCGAACCUCAUCAAAAGACCUUACUUCAGAUGAAAUCCAAGAUGGAAAACGAUCUUGCAUAAUUCGUACCCAGAAAUUCGUAUAUGCAGACGAAUACAACGCACUUAUGAAAAAGACUCAAAUUUCUCCUUCAAGUCCUCUCUUGACACUAAACCCGUUUAUAGACUCAAAGGGUAUUAUUAGAGCAAAUGGCCGAUUGGUACAAUCGCCAGCCCUUACCUAUAGCGAACGUCACCCAAUAAUAUUACCACAUGGCGCAAAACUUAGCAAACUAUUAGUCGAAUUCACUCAUAAGGUUACUUUACACGGGGGUAAUCAAUUAAUGACCCGAGUACUAAGGUCCGAAUUCUGGAUAUUUGGACUCAAGUCGCUUAUCAAACAAACCAUACGAAAAUGUCGAAUCUGCUUAAUUCACAAAAAACAAACCCAGACUCAAAUAAUGGCUUCGCUACCACCCGAACGCACUUUUCUUUCUCGACCCUUUACAAACACAGGGGUAGAUUUUGCAGGACCCUUUAACAUUAAAAGUUAUUCAGGAAGAGCCUGCUUUAUUACAAAAGGCUACGUGUGCCUGUUUGUUUGUUUCGCCACUAAGGCUAUACAUUUAGAACCCACAAGCGAUUUGUCGACAUAUGCCUUUCUUGCCGCUUUUUCUAGGUUUAUUAGUCGGCGAGGUUGCCCGUCUUGUAUAUUUUCGGACAACGGAACUAACUUUGUGGGAGCGGUUGAUCUAUUAAAGCGAGAUAGAUUAGCUUUCAUGAAGAAUAUUCAAAAUAGCACAAUUCAAAAUAAUUUCACUCAAAAUCUUACUUGGAAAUUUAUUCCUCCUGGUGCUCCGCACAUGGGCGGCUUGUGGGAAGCUGGCGUCAAAUCAUUUAAAAUUCAUUUACGAAAAAGUAUCCCAAAAAUGAAUUUCACUUUUGAAGAAUUUACAACUAUUUUAUCAAGAAUUGAAGGCUGUCUUAACUCACGACCCUUAAGUCCUGCUAGCGACAACCCAAACGACCUUUCCCCUUUGACACCUGGUCAUUUCUUAAUAGGAACACCUAUUCUUACCCCAGCUGAACCAGACAUUUCAGACACAGAUUUAAGCUUAGUCAAUCGUUGGAAAAGACUCAAAGUUAUUUCGCAAUAUUUUUGUAACAGAUGGAAGUUAGAAUAUCUUCACGAACUUCACAGAAGAACUAAAUGGAAAUGUGAAAAAGAGAAUAUCAAAGAAGGAGAUUUAGUUGUCGUAAAAGAUGAUAGAUUGGCUCCGCAUGAAUGGAAGUUAGGUCGUAUCGAAAAAAUGUAUCCAGGUAGUGACCAAAAUACCAGGGUUGUAGACAUACGGACGGCAAGUGGCAACAUUAGCAGACCCAUUACAAAAAUUGUCAAAUUGUUUUCCGACUGACUAGUCGGAUUCCCACUCAAAAAAGAAUUUAGUACUCGCCUUAAUUUCUUUUCAGAUAUGGUUGCUUACUUGCCCAACCAGGACUGCCGUCUGGACGAUCGCAACCGUAGCCCAGACUCACCUGCCCGUCCAACAGCAAGAAGCGCCAAUCGACCCAUACGGCCAAUCCAUCGUCCCAGUUCCACAUCCCCUGAAAGACGUCAACGAAGCCGAUCCGACGCAAGACCCCGCCAACGCCAAGAAAGACCAAGUUACUGGCAGUAUUCAUGUGGGCUCUGCCAAGAUGACCAUGCCCUCAGUGCCUGUGAACGAUUCCGCAGACAGACGCCCUUCCAGCGGUAUGAGACCGUGGAGCGUCGGGGAUAUUGCCGCAAUUGCCUGGCGAGAAGUCAUUUGGCCCCCGACUGCCCGUCUUUAACUGGUUGCCGGAGAUGCAACGACCGGCACCAUACCUUACUGCACGGGGCGUCUCAGUUGGACGAGGUAUCCCUCAACAUCGAGGCCAUUACAACCCCAGCCUUCGCAUGGGAUUUGGUGUUUGUACCAACAGCGAUGGUACGCAUAACGGCCGAGGGCAUGGAGGGUUUUAGUAUGCUGCGAGCCAUUAUUAGCCAAUCUGCGACGAUGUCCAAGAUUUCGUAUGCCGCGUUCCGUCGCCUGGGUCUGCAGUCGCGAGAGUACAAAGGGGAGCGAUUCACCACCUUCACCGUUUCGCCCCGCCGCACAAACAGUACUUGGAGUCUGAAGGUAAAUGCAGUAAUUAUCGACGAUCUCCCCAGACGCAUUUACUCAGACCCAAUACUAGAAGACCCCACGAGAUGCUUUACAAAUUACGCCCUUGCUGACCCUGAUCCCCGAGGAGGAAAUAGUCCAAUCGAUGUGGAACUGGGAGCGGACACGUACUCCGCCAUAAGGAAAGAUGGGUGUACAGCAGCUGGAAUUGGAGAUGUCCUGGCCUACAACACACAACUGGGCUACGUGUUUGCUGGGCCAAUCAAGAACAUGCCGAGGAACUGAAAACCGAGGAUCCUUAUGUGAACAUUUAAUCAUCAACACUACAAAAAAACCAAGAACAUUGUUAAUAUUAAAAAGUGAACAAAUAAAUUGUGAAACUAUAUAACUUAUAUGCUAAAACUUACAAACUAAUGAAUUAAAACUAUUUAAUUUAAACUUAAAAUCUAUUAAAAUAAAACUUACAAAUUAGUGAAUUAAAACCCAAAUAUAAAUUAUACAAAAUAAUAUUACUUAAACUAAAUUGCACUACCCCAAAAAAUCUAAAUAAAAGACUGAACUAAAACUGAAACAAAAAA